rnacentral:rRNA from 1 species
UACGAAGGGGGCUAGCGUUGUUCGGAAUCACUGGGCGUAAAGGGCGCGUAGGCGGCUAAUCAAGUCGGGGGUGAAAGCCUGUGGCUCAACCACAGAAUUGCCUUCGAUACUGUUUGGCUUGAGACCGGAAGAGGACAGCGGAACUGCGAGUGUAGAGGUGAAAUUCGUAGAUAUUCGCAAGAAGGCCAGUGUCGAAGGCGGCUCACUGGCCCGGUACUGACGCUGAGGUGCGAAAGCGUGGGGAGCAAACAGG